AGAAAUUUUAAGACGCGAUAGGGUUAAAACAGGAUUUCAUCCACCGAGUUUUGGGAAACCCUGAAUUUAUGUCGCGAAGUUUCAUCUGCAUCGGCGUAUAUCUUCCUCUCAAAACCCCUCAACCGCAAAACUAAAACAAGUGAGAAAUCAAUCGCCACUCCAUUUGAUAUUUUGAUCUAAUCCAUUUAUUGACUGAAGAAUACGGAGAGUGGGGAGCAGACACCAGUUUUGGAGGUCAUUCAAUCAUUCAAAUCAAUAAGCAUAAUCUAAACUUGGUAAUUUGUUUGGCCGAUCAUGGAGCGGUGAGGGUUUAAUCGGAGCACCAAAGUCCAUCGGGUCAAGGGUUUCUACCAUGAUAUGACGAAAGGUCAGUGAUGAUGUUGUUUGGGGCGAUAGCAGUGGUAGGUAGUGGAAAAAUCGAAGCCUCAACAGUGGCGGCUUUAGGGUUCCUUCAUGAGUCAGUCGGGGGCGGUUAGGAUUCCGGCAGAGGAAUCCUCAGAUGGUGAAGUUGAGGUUUGGUAGUGACUAUGGUGGUGAUUACAGGUAGUCAGGAAUUUCUAUUAAUAUGAUAUAUUUGCUCCGCUGCGCUGCUGCUUGCUCCGCUGCUCGGUCUCACAAGAGGCUCAUAUGUUUUGGUGGUGCUACAAAACUCCUUACAGAACUCAAGAUCCCAACAAUCCUUGGCCUGUAAUUCUUUGGUUGCAAGGUAAACCUGGUGCUUCAGGGGUUGGAACUGGAAAUUUUGAAGAAGUGGGCCCAUUGGACUCUUUCUUAAAGCCAAGAAACUGUACAUGGUCGACAAAAGCAGAUCUGUUGUUGUGGAUAAUCCAGUUGGGACUGGAUACAGUUUCGUAGAAGACGAAAAGUUGUUGGUGAAAACUGAUGAAGAGAUUUGACCACAUUGUUGAUUGAAAUCUUUAAUAGAAAUGAAACUCUUUAAAAGAGUCCUCUUUAUAUAGUGGCAGAGUGUUAUGGUGGCAAAUUUGCAGUCACUCUUGGACUAUCUGCUAUUAAAGCUAUUGAAUAUAAAAAGUUAAAGCUCAUUUUUGGAGGAAUUGCUUUAGGAGAUACCUGGAUCUUGCCCGAAGACUUUGUGAGCUUCGUGCACUUGAAUUGCAAACGUGGCAUUUUAGUCUACGACAGAUCAAAAGUGCAACUUAUAACAUUGAAUUCUGCUAAUAAGAUUGGCGAAGGGGCUUUGUUUACUUUUGUAACUGAUAUUUCUGUAUUCAGCACCAUGGAAUACUCCUGCUGCUUCCAUGAUUACAUCUAGGAAGGUGGUAUACUCACACUUCAUCUUUAGGUUUGACUUCAACGACUGGAAGAUGGUGUCGAAAUUAGUGGCUGAAGAUUCCGAGCUGAUCUUGGUUAGGAGACAUAUUUUACGUACUAAGAUUACUAGCAUAGUUUGGUUCUAUGUUGUUUUUUUUUGUUUAACAUCCUCAAAGCCUGUUUUGGUUAUCGUAUUUGUUAAGUAGUUGCUCGAUGAAAUGUGUCAUCCACGUUUGCCGCAGCCCCCAAAGCUGGGUUGGAUUUUAGAUCGCCACGACUGCAUAGAAAUAAGAGAUAAUCUGUGUAGGAAGCAUCGUAGACGAGCCCAGGAUCAGCUGCUUUUUCUGAUCUGAAAUGGCCCAACCCGUAUUGAAAUCGAUCUGCCUUGUUGCCUGAUGCGUCGGUUAUUUGUGUCCCAACGUUAACGGAGCAGGUUUAACUUGUAAUACAGUUUUCCCCGGAUAAUUAUACGCUGUUCGGGUUUUGAAGAAUUUUUAUUGCAUCAUCUGAUGUAACUGCAGUUGCUGGAAGAACAUGAGCGUCUACGGUUAACUCAGCUCUAUUGGCCAGGCUGUUGCCUAAAAUGUAACCUAUCCCACCAGCCCGUUUCACUUCCAUCCCUUUACCGGCCAGCAAACUUUGUAGAUGGCCAGGCGGGCCAUUGGUGCACCACCAAAAGCGGUCCCACGGGAAAAUCCACCAAGGGAUGACGCGUUGGGUACACCUCGGCCUCCCCCCGUUGAUGCCUUGUGGGUCCCAUGCCCGUCCAUGUCACGAGGGGACGGGCUAUUAGUGGUGGUGUUUAGAGGCCCGUAUCAUGCUUCAUAACCUUUGAGAUAGCACGGGGCCCCUAUCAGUUUUCUGUCAUAACACAUAGUUAUCAUAAGAUUCACGUUUACAAUAUUUCAUAUGUUAUUCAAAUUUUUUAUUCAAAGUCAAACAUGAAUUAUUUGAUAAUAUUUCAAUUAUUUGGUUGAUAAUUGCUUAUUGUAAUUUUAUUUGACCAUUUGUUUGCCA